rnacentral:lncRNA from 1 species
UAACAAUGAAUUAUAUAAUAUAAGUGCUACCUAAAGACAGCCAUAAGUAGAAUUUUCACUUAAAUUCUUGAAUUAAUGGGUUAAAUUUUGACUUUAACCCACUUGCAUUAACUAACAAUAAAUUAUAUAAUAUAUAUAAAAUAAGUGGUUACUGUGGCUAUUUUAACUACUUUAAAAUAUGCGUAAUAAGCCGAUUUAUACUCAAAAUCGGUUGCAUUUAAAUUCCAAUAGGUCGGUACUAGAAUUAACUGAUUAGCUAGCAUUAACCGAUUAUC